rnacentral:tRNA from 1 species
CGGGCCAUAGGAUAGUGGUAGUCCGCGUCCAUGGGGUGGAUGUGGCGGUGGUUCGAUUCCACCUGGCCCGA